UUAUAGCGUCGUGCUAAUAACGCGAAUGUCGCGGGUUCGAUCCCCGUACUGGCCA
rnacentral:tRNA from 1 species